UCUUUUUCUCUAAAGAAAGAGAUAGAGCUCUUACACAGAAAUGUGAAGCAACAUUUAGACAAAGCUCCCGUUUGGGCAUUUAGGCUUUUCUGCACAGCUCCCCUGGAGAGUGCUGGCCUAAUGGGUGGACUCGUGAGUCAGCAGCAGGGAUCCCACUGAGUCACGUUAAGAUCCCUGGAACCACAUCCUCCCCUUGGCUCACACUUCUUCACCAGGCAUACUAGGGGUGCAAGAAAUGCAUACUGAGUAUUCUAAAGGAGUGAUCUAGACCGGGGGCGUUCCACAGCACAGCUGCUUAACCAACCGGAGGGAAAACUUUUUCUUCUUUCUAAGGUGCAUGGAAGGUUCUGACUGCUGGAAAGAGAAAAAAACACGAAAAGAUUAAUGGGCCAGUGUCGCCUGAGGAUUCACUACCAACAGACAUGAGCUGCCUGUUCCUAUUUAGUAUCUCUGCAUCUUCCUGAAGGCUGAGUUCUACUAUUUGACUCUUUCUAUCCCUUUAAAUAAUAGGCUGCACAUGAAAUAAAAUCUACUGAGUUUCAACUGAGGCUAUAGGCUGAUGUUCUAUGAAGAGAAGAAAGGCAUUUAUGUCAGCCCUCACCUCCCAAGGUCAGAGCUGAUGCCCCGUGCUGAACAAAUCAACUCCAGAAUGCAACAUGUAUUGCUACUGCUGGCCUGUGGUUAUGCAAGUCAGUUGUCUCAGCAUGAGAGAUCAAGACGAUAGAUUAGGGAUACUUGUAUUCCGUUAGUUCUGUUUCAU